AGUGAUACUGAAGGUAGUCUUCUUGCUGUUGGAAUUGUUGAAGUUUUUGAAAACAAGAAUGAUGUUUAUAUUGAGAAUAUUUAAAAUCAAGGAGAAGAUGUGAAGUUUUUGAAGAAGAUGGGUGUGGGAAACAGUCUUGGGAUUUUGGGGAUAAUGUAAUUGAGCUGGGAUCUUGUGGGCAUAUAAUACUCAGAGAAUGAAUUUGAAAUGUGGAG
rnacentral:misc_RNA from 1 species